CCGAGACCUUUAGCCCCCUGUGUGAGAGAAAAAGAAAAUUCUUGGAGCCUCACUCAGCGAUGUUCAGGGGUGACUCCCAGCUCAGUACUCUGUGGGUGGCUGAGUGGCUCCCAGCUGCACUUGAGGGACUGUCUACAGACCUAGGACUCGAACCCAGGCCUCUUGCCUGCAAAGCCUGUGCUCCAGCCCUUUCAGCCGCCUGCCGGGCUCCACGCGAAUCUUCCUCAGCUUGUGGUCCUGCUUCCCCUCCCCACCAGCCCUGCCUGGGGGCCCCCACUCUCCACGUCCUCACCCCUUUUGGCUUGAGGAGUUCCCCCGAUGGCUACCGAUGCUCGGUACGGGCCAGCUGCCUGCUGACCAGGCCCUCACGGCGCGUCUGCCUGGCCCACUCCGCCUGCGCAGGCCACCUCGGGCUGUCUCUCCCUCUGGCCCCUCACGCUGGACCUUUGCCAUAUCAGCACCGUAAGGGACACUUGGGACACUGUGGCUGUGGACGGUGACGGAGACAAGAGGAAUGGAGCCUCACUGGAGUGGCACGGGAUUAAAAUUUGAUCUU